GACGAACGCUGGCGGCGUGCUUAACACAUGCAAGUCGAACGAAGUGGCGAACGGGUGAGUAACGCGUAAUCAACCUGCCCUUCAGAGGGGGACAACAGUUGGAAACGACUGCUAAUACCGCAUACUGAAGGAGGGGAUUGCGUCUGAUUGGCUAGUUGGAGGGGUAACGGCCCACCAAGGAGAUGUUCAGUAGCCGGUCGGAGGGGAUGAACGGCCAAAUCGGGACUGAGACACGGCCCAGAAUCCUACGGGAGGCAACAGUGGGGAAUCUUCCGCAAUUGACGAAAGGCUGACGGAGCAACGCCGCGGGAUGGAUGACGGCCUUCGGGUUGUAAAGCUCUGUUAAGCGGGACGCGGUACCGGAAUAGAAAGCCACGGCUAACUACGUGCCAGCAGCCGCGGUAAUAC
rnacentral:rRNA from 1 species